UUUAGCCUACGGGGCGCAGCAGUGGGGAAUAUUGGGCAAUGGGCGCAAGCCUGACCCAGCAACGCCGCGUGAAGGAAGAAGGCUUUCGGGUUGUAAACUUCUUUUCUCAGGGACGAAGAAAGUGACGGUACCUGAGGAAUAAGCCACGGCUAACUACGUGCCAGCAGCCGCGGUAAUACGUAGGUGGCAAGCGUUAUCCGAAUUUAUUGGGUGUAAAGGGCGUGUAGGCGGGAGCGCAAGUCAGAUGUGAAAACUCAGGGCUCAACCCUGCGCCUGCAGUAGAA
rnacentral:rRNA from 1 species